GACGAACGCUGGCGGCGUGCUUAACACAUGCAAGUCGUACGGUAAGGCCCUUUCGGGGGUACACGAGUGGCGAACGGGUGAGUAACACGUGAGUAACCUGCCCACAACUUUGGGAUAACGCUAGGAAACUGGUGCUAAUACUGGAUAUGUGCUCCUGCUGCAUGGUGGGGGUUGGAAAGCUCCGGCGGUUGUGGAUGGACUCGCGGCCUAUCAGCUUGUUGGUGGGGUAGUGGCCUACCAAGGCGGCGACGGGUAGCCGGCCGGAGAGGGUGACCGGCCACAUUGGGACUGAGAUACGGCCCAGACUCCUACGGGAGGCAGCAGUGGGGAAGAUUGCACAAUGGGCGCAAGCCUGAUGCAGCAACGCCGCGUGCGGGAUGACGGCCUUCGGGUUGUAAACCGCUUUCAGCAGGGACGAAGCUUUUUGUGACGGUACCUGCAGAAGAAGCACCGGCUAACUACGUG
rnacentral:rRNA from 1 species